ACGAGCGCAACCCCUACGUCCUGUUGCCACCCAUUCGAAAGAGUGGAGCACUCUGGACGGACUGCCUCGCUUCAACGGGGAGGAAGGUGGGGAUGACGUCAAGUCAGUAUGGCCCUUACGGCUAGGGCUGCACACGUACUACAAUGCCCGAUACAAAGGGGCGCAAACCGGCGACGGGGAGCAAAUCCUAAAAAUCGGGCCCAGUUCAGAUUGCUGUCUGCAACUCGACAGCAUGAAGCCGGAAUCGCUAGUAAUGGCGCAUCAGCUACGGCGCCGUGAAUACGUUCCCAGGCCUUGUACACACCGCCCGUCACAUCAUGAAAGCCGUCUGUACCCAAAAUCGCUGAGCCAACCGCAAGGAAGCAUGCGCCUAAGGUAUGGAUGGUGAUUGGGAUGAAGUCGUAACAAGUACCAAUCGAUUCCCGCGCCGCCAUGCG
rnacentral:rRNA from 1 species